GACGAACGCUGGCGGCGUGCCUAAUACAUGCAAGUAGAACGCUGAAGGAGGAGCUUGCUUCUCUGGAUGAGUUGCGGACGGGUGAGUAACGCGUAGGUAACCUGCCUGGUAGCGGGGGAUAACUAUUGGAAACGAUAGCUAAUACCGCAUAAGAGUAGAUGUUGCAUGACAUUUGCUUAAAAGGUGCAAUUGCAUCACUACCAGAUGGACCUGCGUUGUAUUAGCUAGUUGGUGAGGUAACGGCUCACCAAGGCAACGAUACAUAGCCGACCUGAGAGGGUGAUCGGCCACACUGGGACUGAGACACGGCCCAGACUCCUACGGGAGGCAGCAGUAGGGAAUCUUCGGCAAUGGACGGAAGUCUGACCGAGCAACGCCGCGUGAGUGAAGAAGGUUUUCGGAUCGUAAAGCUCUGUUGUAAGAGAAGAACGAGUGUGAGAGUGGAAAGUUCACACUGUGACGGUAGCUUACCAGAAAGGGACGGCUAACUACGUG
rnacentral:rRNA from 1 species